UACGUAGGGUGCAAGCGUUAAUCGGAAUUACUGGGCGUAAAGCGUGCGCAGGCGGUUUUGUAAGUCUGUCGUGAAAUCCCCGGGCUCAACCUGGGAAUGGCGAUGGAGACUGCAAGGCUAGAGUUUGGCAGAGGGGGGUAGAAUUCCACGUGUAGCAGUGAAAUGCGUAGAGAUGUGGAGGAACACCGAUGGCGAAGGCAGCCCCCUGGGCUAACACUGACGCCUCAGGCACGAAAGCGUGGGGAGCAAACAGG
rnacentral:rRNA from 1 species